rnacentral:rRNA from 1 species
AGUGAACGCUGGCGGUAGGCCUAACACAUGCAAGUCGAACGGCAGCACAGUAAGAGCUUGCUCUUACGGGUGGCGAGUGGCGGACGGGUGAGGAAUACAUCGGAAUCUACUUUUUCGUGGGGGAUAACGUAGGGAAACUUACGCUAAUACCGCAUACGACCUACGGGUGAAAGCAGGGGAUCUUCGGACCUUGCGCGAUUGAAUGAGCCGAUGUCGGAUUAGCUAGUUGGCGGGGUAAAGGCCCACCAAGGCGACGAUCCGUAGCUGGUCUGAGAGGAUGAUCAGCCACACUCGAACUGAGACACGGUCCAGACUCCUAGGGGAGGCAGAAGUGGGGAAUAUUGGACAAUGGGCGCAAGCCUGAUCCAGCCAUACCGCGUGGGUGAAGAAGGCCUUCGGGUUGUAAAGCGCUUUUGUUGGGAAAGAAAAGCAGCAUGUUAAUACCCCGCUGUUCUGACGGUACCCUAAGAAUAAGCACCGGCUAACUUCGUG